AUGACUAUGGCGAAACGGUAGACGCGAUUAAUUAAGGAUUAAUUUUUUAUAGGUUCAAAUCCUAUUAGUCAUA
rfam:Pachysolen tannophilus NRRL Y-2460 unplaced genomic scaffold PACTA_scaffold_10, whole genome shotgun sequence.